GAUUCUAAUAUAAAAAGCAAAGAAGGAAAGAGAGAAAGAAAGAAAGAAAGAAAGAAAGAAAGAAAGAAAGAAAGAAAGAAAGAAAGAAAGAAAGAGAGAGAGAGAGAGAGAAGGAAGGAAGGAAAGAAGGAAGGAAGGAAGUGAAGGAAGGAAGGAAGGAAGGAAGGAAGGAAGGAAGGAAGGAAGGAAGGAAGGAAGGAAGGAAAGAAGGAAGGAAGGAAAGAAGGAAGGAAGGAAGGAAGGAAGGAAAGAAGGAAGGAAGGAAGGAAGGAAGGAAGGAAGGAAGGAAGGAAGGAAGGAAGGAAGGAAGGAAGGAAGGAAGGAAGGAAGGAAGGGAGAAGCUAAAGAUUCAAAAAGGUAGAAGUGAGGAGAGAGAGCAUUCCUGGGCAAAGGCUGGAGAUGGGAGGAACAGCUUAGGGAGCCAAUAUGGUUGGCCUGUAAGAUAUGUGCAAAAGAAUGACAUAUAAGACUGGAAAGGUAAGUCGGAACCAGGUUGUUAGAGGCUUUCAGGGUCAGACAGAGGCGUUUAUCCUCCAUUCUGGAGGCAUUAGGGAUGCUGUGCUGGGAUAGUACUUUAGUCAAGCCAAACCAAUCCACGGCUCCUCCCUUCUUACACAAGGAGCUUGACCAUGCUGUCCUCCGGCCAGUCCACGAUGCACUUGGUGGCCCCCUCGUCCACAGUGACCGUGGAGUAGAAAAACUGAGGGAAGGCUAGUCCAGAGGCCACCAGCCAGAUGGCGCCGAUGAUGACUUUGGUGCUGAGGGUCGAAAGCCGGGGCUGGAAGGGAUGGAUGAUAGCCAUGUACCUGCAGAAGGAGGAGGCACCAUGGAAAACCACUAGUGAGUUGUAGCCCUUUUCUUUUUCCUUUUUUUUUUUAACCCUUACCUUCUACCUUAGAAUCAAAUCCCAAGUACUGGUGCUAAGGCAGAAGGGUGGGAAGGGCGAGGCAAUGAAGGUUGUAACUCACCCAGGGUUACACAGCUAGGAUGUGUCCGAGGCCAUAUUUGAACCCAAGUCCUCUUGAUUCCAGGCCUGGCUCUCCAUCCAUUGGGCUACCUUAGCUGCCCCCUCUAAGACCUUUGGAUCCCAAAUCUAGGUCACUUGGUAGAAAAACAGCUGAGAAGAGCUUCCACUGGUCUCUGCCCCCUUCACCUUCUCCCAAGACCCUACAUCAACAGUAAGGGCUGAGGAUCACAGGUCAAUGCACUCAAAACAGGAAGGACUCCUAGAAGACCUUAUUUUAACAGAUGGGGAAACGGAGGCACAAACAAUGGGAGAUGUGGCUUGCCCAAGACCUCCUGGAGCUCAGACUUACACAACUAGCUCAGACACACUGAUAGCUCAGGGCAGGAGGUUAUAAACUAGCUAAAGUCAGGUUAAUGUUUGUUCCCUGUCCAGGCAUCUUCUGCAGUCCUCAGGAAGGAGCAAAGAAUCCUAUAUUUGGACAUGGAAGGGACCAACCCUUUCAUUUCACAAAUAAGGAAACAGAGGCACCAGGAAGUGAAACAAUUUGUCCAAGGCUAAUCAAUCAAUAAAUAGACAUUUCCUGAUCA
ensembl:lncRNA